AAACUUAUAUGGCUGGAAUGGUUCUCGCAAUUGGGAAGACGGGGCAUUUGGGGCAAAGCCUAGCCGUUUCAAUUUGGGGUGCGGUUUGGUCUGUGUGUCUCUCUUAAGGUGGGGGUCGCCAAGGGCACAAUUUUUGUGUUCGGGUGUACGUUAGGACGUCCGUG
rnacentral:snRNA from 13 species